AUACGGAGGAUCCAAGCGUUAUCCGGAUUUAUUGGGUUUAAAGGGAGCGUAGGUGGAUUGUUAAGUCAGUUGUGAAAGUUUGCGGCUCAACCGUAAAAUUGCAGUUGAAACUGGCAGUCUUGAGUACAGUAGCGGUGGGCGGAAUUCGUGGUGUAGCGGUGAAAUGCUUAGAUAUCACGAAGAACUCCGAUUGCGAAGGCAGCUCACUAGACUGUUACUGACACUGAUGCUCGAAAGUGUGGGUAUCAAACAGGAUUAGAUACCCUGGUAGUCCACACAGUAAACGAUGAAUACUCGCUGUUUGCGAUAUACAGUAAGCGGCCAAGCGAAAGCAUUAAGUAUUCCACCUGGGGAGUACGCCGGCAACGGUGAAACUCAAAGGAAUUGACGGGG
rnacentral:rRNA from 1 species